rnacentral:lncRNA from 1 species
UUUUUUUUGUUUUUCGUUUCUUCUGUCAGACCCACUGCCACCUCUGUCCCUAAAAGCCCUCCUCGCCCAGGCCAGCUCAGGGCAGCAUCAGUUCAAGUGACAUUUCCAGCAGCCGUCACCUUGAGCCAUCCGAAGGUGGGGAAAAGAAGAGGGAGACAAAAACUCCUGCUCAGCCCAAACCUUCCUCCCGCUCAAACAGCGUGGAUUUAAACACAACCCCCAUCCCCAAGCUGAAAUGGGAAGGGUCCCGUUUCCCCACGAAGGGGAACAGUUUCAUGUUCGUGGGGGGAUUUUUAAAUUUAAAAAUCGAGGGGGAAAACCCCACAACUUCAUGGCCACUUUUACCCCCUGGAUCUCCCUUUAUCUCGACCGCGGGCCGAGGGGCAGGCAGAGUAUAGAACAGGAUACAGGCUGGAAGAACAUCCUUCCAAUAUUUAUUACUGGCGGACCAUGAAUCGCUUUUCAAUAUACGGGCCACUAACUGUUGAAGGGAUGGGGGAAAAAAAAAAUCUCAUUAACAAGAAAUAUAUAUGUUCUGCUAAAGGAUGUGCUCAUAGGCUGGCAGAGGUACAGCAGGGGCUGCCAGCUCUCCUCAGCUCUCCUCUCAAGUGACCUCCCAGGCCACUGGUCCAGCCUGGAUGUCUGUCCCCGUUCCAGCCGUUUUCCAGCUUAAUCUCGAUAUAUCACGAGCCUAAGGGCGAGAAGGGGCAAUUCCAAUAAAAGGGUGAAAAAUGGAUUUAAAAAAACCCCAUGUAUUUCCAUGUGAUAACUAACUGGGAAAGCCAAAUCCUCUGCCCGGACAGGAGAGGAAAACGAGCCCAGCAGCAGCAUCAACUCCUGAGCACUUUACCUGGAAACUUUGAAGGAGGGCUCUGCAUUAAAAUUUAACCAAUCUAUUCUCUAAUUCUUCACUUUUGCGUUAUUAAUUUAUGACAGAUAAAAGCAUAGCUGAGCCUUUCUCAUUAACUUUUCAAACGCCACUUAAUAUUGUUCCAUUAAAAGAGGUGACUUUAGUAGCCUCUGGAUCGACUUUAAAAGCGAGAGGGAUAAAGACGGAAAAGAUACAUUAAACAGCUUGCUUAAAACUCGUCCUUCCCCCCCAACAAUUCAAAUGACACCACCUCGACUGGUUCAUACUAGCUCCUUGCAGGAGAAAUAUCUUAAUAUUGGGAACGGGAAAGGGGGUGGAGGAGAAAGGCAGAAGAGGGAUAUAUAUCUUUCAACCCCUCCAUCCUCCCGGGCACUUCGGGGAGGGUUGGGGUGAAGGCAUUUCACAGUACGCCCAAGACAUUUCAAUAAAAAUUUAUUGAAACUUCAGUGACUUUUAAAAGGGGGGGGGGGGGGGGAAAUAAAGAAAAAAAAAAUAGCAAGAACUUCUCGACAUUUAUAUAACACAAAAUAUACCUUCAUUUUUUUUUUCCUUUGAACCAGCUCUGAGCACCUGACUUUCAACCCAAGAAAAUAUGCACUCACUCAAACAAAGACAACAAUAAGCACAGUAGUGAAACUCCAUUGCGGGGUUGUUUUCUGAUGCACUGGGGAAACAGGCAAAAAUGAUAGAAAGUACAGAAAAUCCUAGAAUCUUCACCUCUUCUUUUUUUUUCUCUCAAGCCACUGGAGAAGCCUGUUGUCGUGUAUAAACAUCUAUAAUUUUGUGGUUGUUGACAUUUUGAACACUGAAGAAAUCGAGGAUUAAAAGCUACCAUGGCACACUGCUUCGUCUUUUUCUCUCUUUGAAUUUUUUUAAGGUCUUUGAAUAAUUUGGUUUCUUUCUGCUUUGCCUUUUGCACUUGGCUCCUUGACCAAAGGACGAGGUUUUCCUGGGCUGAGCUCUGAUUUAAAAACUGAGCCCUCAUAAAUGGGGGAAUUUCUCCUCUGGGUCGGGAUCUAUGUUUAAAGGAAUUACCAACUUGAAAUGAAAACGACUAAAAAUAAAAACAGAAGGAAAAAAAAGAAGAUCGCUGCAGUCGUAUUUACAGAGAUAUGUACAAUGUCAAUAAAUUAAAGUUUAAUUUUGAGUAUUCAUAUUCCACGUAUUUACAAGAGUUAUCAAAUAAUUACAUAAAUACUUUGUUUUAAUAAUAGUGUCCACUCUUUUCUUCUUCUCAGUAUGUUAAACCUUGUUAUUGCAUAUACAAUUAAAGAGGGAAAGCUGUGAUAAAUCUACAGUCGAGCUACAGAGGUUUUUAGAUAAAAUAAAUUCACUUUUCUUUUCUUUCCAACUACACGUCUUAUUUUUGUUGCUACAAGGGAGGAUGUUUAAGGUAGAGGGACAAAGGUGUUAUUUUUGUUUUUAUUAUUAUUAAUAAUAAUUUUUCCCUGGGAUUUGAAACGAGCAUUAAAAAUAAACAUCAAAACCCCACUGAAAUAAAAAAUACCACCACCCCCCCUCAAAAAAAAAAAAAAAAAA